UGAAUUCUCUGUGAAGUGCCAUCUGCCGGAUUAUGCACAGUGUCUCUGCCUUGACCUUUGUGUAAUCGUUCAACAAUAACAAACCCUUUCAGCUUCUAAAAAACCACGGUAAGACAAAUCCCUCAGAAAAUAACCCGUCGUCAGAGAAAGAAGAGCUGGCUAAGAGCCUAUGUGUCGUUUUUCUCAGUUGAGCUGAAAGGAUUGGCAGCAUUGUUCAUGAAAUUCAGAUGUUAGGGUUAUCAUCUUCUAAUUAAAGCAGACAGUGGACCGGGCUUUGUUCAGGAGCCGGACAGAAAUUUAAACGGACUGUGUAAAGCUGUAAAGAGGCUCCCGAGGGAUCUCAUUAUGAACUAUAUGAAGAGAGCCCAUCUGCACCAAGGCAUUGUCUUCAUUCUGCUGUAAAGAUGAGUUCUUGGCUGCUUGCUGUGUCAUGGCAUUUCAACACCAUCAAAAAAUCAUUACAGAUCAGAGAGGAACAGGAAGAUAGACAUGUCAGAUGUUAGACAUACAUUAUGUCACACAGUGUUUGUUGAAGAAGCUGUAGAGAUCUGCUCCUCUGUCUGCAAAAGAAGACAAGUCUGCAAAUUAAGUCAGCAACUUGGAAGAAAGCUGCAUCUUCAUGGACGAGAGAGCGUGGAAGCUCUUGGCUCUCGUGCGCAGCAGCAGAAUGAAGAUGUCACUUUUGACAAACUGGCUACUGUUGUGAGCACUCGGCCCAUCGCUUACACUGUCAUUGUGUUUGUUUAUAUACAUCCAUGUUCUUGUGAACUCGGGAACGCCUGGAAUCUGAGAUCUACAGCCACCCUGAGACUUCAGUCAUAAACCGUGAAGACUCGAAGAGCAUGACUCCAUCCUAACAAUAAUCCUGAUCUUUCUAUUUUUCAGUUUUCACUCAGCGUGCAGAUGAAAACCUCUCCCACAGGUCCAACACAACUUCCAUCAAAAGCCUGAC
rnacentral:lncRNA from 1 species